rnacentral:lncRNA from 1 species
GCAGCGAGAGGCCCGCGCUGAGGCGGCGCAGCGCAAAGGGGCGGACGCUGAGGGCGGCCAGGGCGCGGCCGGCCGCCGGGAACUCGAGGCGCAGCGUGACGGCGGCGUGCAGCCCCACGGCCGGGCUGUAGCGCGUGAGCUCCAGGAACACAGCGCGGCUCCUGCGCAGAGGGUGCGGGGUCUGGCUGGACUAAAGGCAAAACUAAAGCCCAGAAGACAGACCAGUGCACCGGAUGCCCGUACCGCGUGAUGGCCAGGAAGGCCCGGCUGUGCAGCUCCUGCUUGAUGGCGCUUUGCAGACGGAGUGCUGGACCUGAGGGACAUGGUAGGCUGUGAAUUCAUCCCGGCCUCCAGGAGGCAGUUGCAGCCAAGCCCAUGUUAACCUGGGCGGGCAGUUUCUUGAGCCUCUUGGGUCACAGGGUCCCCCCGACAAAAAGCCGGAAGACCCUACCCCAAACGAGAGUGGGAGUGGUGCUGGGAGCCAGGGAACCAAGAGCCACUCCAGGCACCGAAGUCAGGCGUCCGCCUGCGUCCCUCUCCCGCCCGCUUGCUGCUGAUAAACCCAUCGCCCACAGCCUGACCAGCUGCCCUUACAGCAGUGCACAGUCUCUCAGGGUGCAAUGAGCCCCCCUUCAACCCUGCAAACUAUGAUUGGGUCUCAACCAUCCAACAAGCAUCUCUACAAUCUAGAGACGCCAGUGUGUCUGUCCCAUGCAGGUUUAUGGCCUAAAAUUAACUUCUGGACAAGGAAACAUAUGAAUGCCUUUCAAAUCCCAACAGUGUGUAGGGCUCCCUGAGGCCAGAGAUCUGCUUGUGUCUCCAGGAGCCAGUGACCACCGAGGCUGUGCCACUGCAUCGGGCCACCAUGCUGAUAUGCCCGGUCCCAGAGCUGCUAGAGAAGAGGUACAGAGGCAGCGAAGACACGUUGAGGGGGAGGACGAGACCAACUGCGAGACGCCGAGUCCCGGGCUCUCAGGACGCUCUCCCGUACCUGCGCCCUCGUCAGCCCAUCACCGAAAGAACGGCCUGACCCAGGGUCACACUGCACUGAAUGCUUCCUGUUUUGCUGUCUCUCGGAGGAUAAAAGACACUCUUGGCUGGGCGCAGUGUCUCAAGCCU